AAACCAACAGGGAUUGCCCCAGUAACGGCGAGUGAAGCGGCAAGAGCUCAAAUUUGAAAUCUGGCAAAAGCCCGAGUUGUAAUUUGAAGAGGAUGCCUCGGUUGCGGCCCCAGCCCAAGUUUCUUGGAACAGAACGUCAAGGAGGGUGAGAAUCCCGUCCGGCUGCCGGCUUAUACCAUGUGUGGCUCCUUCGAAGAGUCGAGUUGUUUGGGAAUGCAGCUCAAAAUGGGUGGUAGAUUUCCAUCUAAAGCUAAAUACUGGCGAGAGACCGAUAGCGCACAAGUAGAGUGAUCGAAAGAUGAAAAGCACUUUGAAAAGAGAGUUAAACAGUACGUGAAAUUGUUGAAAGGGAAGCGCUUGCGAUCAGACUCACCAACGGUUGAUCAACGUUCCUUCUGGUUCGUGCACUCUGCCGCCGGUGGGCCAGCAUCAGUUGGGACGGCGGGACAAAGGCGCUGGGAAUGUGGCUCCUCGGAGUGUUAUAGCCCAGUGUGUAAUGCCGCCUGCCCCGACUGAGGUCCGCGCUUCGGCUAGGAUGCUGGCUUAAUGGUCGUAAGCGACCCGUCUUGAAACACGGACCAAGGAGUCUAACAUCUAUGCAAGUUUUUGGGUGCAAAACCCAUGAGCGCAAUGAAAGUGAACGGAGGUGGGAGCCUUAGGGUGCACCAUCGACCGAUCCUGAUGUUCUCGGAUGGAUUUGAGUAUGAGCAUAGCUGUUGGGACCCGAAAGAUGGUGAACUAUGCCUGAAUAGGGUGAAGCCAGAGGAAACUCUGGUGGAGGCUCGCAGCGGUUCUGACGUGCAAAUCGAUCGUCAAAUUUGGGUAUAGGGGCGAAAGAC
rnacentral:rRNA from 1 species